UACAGAGGUCUCAAGCGUUGUUCGGAUUCAUUGGGCGUAAAGGGCGCGUAGGCGGGCUGCCAAGUUUGGGGUGAAAUCCACCGGCUCAACCGGAGAAGGGCCUCGAAUACUGGCGGUCUGGAGGGAGGUAGGGGCGUGCGGAACUAACGGUGGAGCGGUGAAAUGCGUUGAUAUCGUUAGGAACUCCGGUGGCGAAGGCGGCACGCUGGACCUUUUCUGACGCUGAGGCGCGAAAGCCAGGGGAGCGAACGGG
rnacentral:rRNA from 1 species